UCUUAUCAAGAGUGGUUAAGGGACUGGCCCUAUGAUACCCGGCAACCAGAUAUACAUUUAGUUCGUACAUCUAGGUGCUAAUUCCAGCAGGUAUAUCCUGAAAGAUGAGG
rnacentral:ncRNA from 1 species